UCCACAAUCUGAGGUCCGGUCCACCAUCAUAAUCGUACUUGUUCCAAACUUCCAAGUUCCCCAUUUCCACUCUCUCUCUCUCUCUCUCUCUUUCUUUUCUGCAACUCAGGAGCUGAUCUUUCUCUUCGAAUCAGAAGGAAAUUGAAGAGCUUUUUGAUUCAUUUCUAUGUGAGUAUCUCUGGGUUUAUUAAUCUUUGCGGGUUUUCCGAUUUUGCUUUUUCACAUGAAUGUUAGGCAUGGAGAAAUUGAAAUGUCGACACGAACAUUGUGUAUCAA